UGAAUACGAGACGCUAAGGCGUUGAAGUAGUGUAUGUCAUACUUCCAAGAAAAGCUUGCACUGUCAUAGAUAAAAAACGCCUGUACCAUAACCGACACAGGUGGGUAGGUAGAGUAUACUAAGGGGCGCGAGAUAACUCUCUCUAAGGAACUCGGCAAAAUAACUCCGUAACUUCGGGAGAAGGAGUGCCUUAUUUAUAAGGCUGCAAUAACAAGAUCCAAGCAACUGUUUAUCAAAAACACAGGUCUCCGCUAAGUCGUAAGACGAUGUAUGGGGGCUGACGCCUGCCCAGUGCCAGAAGGUUAAAGAAGUUGGUUAGCAAUAGCGAAGCUGAUAACUGAAGCCCUGGUGAACGGCGGCCGUAACAAUAACGGUCCUAAGGUAGCGAAAUUCCUUGUCGGGUAAGUUCCGACCCGCACGAAAGGCGUAAUGAUUUGGAUACUGUCUCGGAGAGGGGCUCGGUGAAAUAGACUUGUCUGUGAAGAUGCGGACUACCUGCACCAGGACAGAGAGACCCUAUGAAGCUUUACUGUAACUUGAAAUUGAAAUUGGACUUUAUUCGCGCAGUAUAGGUGGGAGGCGUUGAUUGUAAUCUUGCGGGAUUAUUGGAGCCAUCAGUGAGAUACCACCCUUGUAAUGUUAGAUUUCUAACUUUGAAUCAUUAUCUGGUCAAAGAACAGUUUCAGGCGGGCAGUUUGACUGGGGCGGUCGCCUCCUAAACGGUAACGGAGGCGUACAAAGGUUUCCUCUGAACGGUUAGAAAUCGUAUCUAGAGUGUAAAGGCAUAAGGAAGCUUGACUGUGAGACCUACAAGUCGAGCAGGGACGAAAGUCGGUCUUAGUGAUCUGACGGUACUGAGUGGAAAGGCCGUCACUCAACGGAUAAAAGUCACUCUAGGGAUAACAGGCUGAUCUCCCCCAAGAGUUCACAUCGACGGGGAGGUUUGGCACCUCGAUGUCGGCUCAUCGCAUCCUGGGGCGGUAGUACGUCCCAAGGGUUGGGCUGUUCGCCCAUGAAAGCGGUACGCGAGCUGGGUUCAGAACGUCGUGAGACAGUUCGGUCCAUAUCCGGUGUAGGCGUUAGAAUAUUGAGAGGAGCCUUCUUUAGUACGAGAGGACCGAGAAGGACAUACCUCUGGUGUACCAGCUAUCGUGCCAACGGUAAACGCUGGGUAGCUAUGUAUGGAGUGGAUAACCGCUGAAAGCAUCUAAGUGGGAAGCCCACCUCAAGAUAAG
rnacentral:rRNA from 1 species